rnacentral:ncRNA from 1 species
UUGUUUGGAGCAGUACAUCUGUCAAACUGUAACAAGGUGUCCUAAGGCCCACUCAGAGAGGACAGAAACCUCCCAUGAAGCAGAAGAGCAAAAGUUCCUUUGAUCUUGAUUUACAGCAUGGAUACAGACUAUGAAAGCAGGGCCUCUGGAUCCUUUUAACCUUUUGGGUUAAGCAGGAG